CUGCUUGUGAGACAGGGACGAGGGAGGAGAAAACAGCAGGGAGAGAGUCAGUGUCUAAGAACGUAUGCAGGAACUGGACACAAUAGCUGGACACACCUGGACCCUGUCAACCUCACCUGGAGGCUCCCAGCCAGGACCGAGCUAAACUCAGCUGAACCUGGUUUCCCUGAGGAGGGGGGUUAAAACAAGACUGGGUCUGAACCUGGUGCAGACCUGAAGUACCUCUCAUCAGCUGGUGUUAGAACCACAUUGUUCUGACGGGAACUUGUCCCUCAGCCUCAGUUUGGAUUCAGAUCAGUCCACUGCAGACCACCAACAUGAGCAGGUUUAGGAGGACAGCCUGAAUUCUGAGUUCAGGGGACUACAACUUGGAACCAGUAUUUAUUAGGACCAGGUGAGUCCCUUUUUUAACAUCUGCUUCGUGGUUUUUAAUACAACAAUCAGACACCCUGUGUAUAUGUGUGACUGUGUGUGUGUGUGUGUGUG
rnacentral:lncRNA from 1 species